UGUGUGUUAGUGGAACGGUCUGGAAAGUCCGACGGUACAGGGUGAUAGUCCCGUACACGAAAAUGCACAUGCUGUGAACUCGAAGAGUAGGGCGGGACACGUGGUAUCCUGUCUGAAUAUGGGGGGACCAUCCUCCAAGGCUAAAUACUCCUGACUGACCGAUAGUGAACCAGUACCGUGAGGGAAAGGCGAAAAGAACCCCGGCGAGGGGAGUGAAAAAGAACCUGAAACCGUGUACGUACAAGCAGUGGGAGCCUCUUUAUGGGGUGACUGCGUACCUUUUGUAUAAUGGGUCAGCGACUUAUAUUCUGUAGCAAGGUUAACCGUAUAGGGGAGCCGAAGGGAAACCGAGUCUUAACUGGGCGUUAAGUUGCAGGGUAUAGACCCGAAACCCGGUGAUCUAGCCAUGGGCAGGUUGAAGGUUGGGUAACACUAACUGGAGGACCGAACCGACUAAUGUUGAAAAAUUAGCGGAUGACCUGUGGCUGGGGGUGAAAGGCCAAUCAAACCGGGAGAUAGCUGGUUCUCCCCGAAAGCUAUUUAGGUAGCGCCUCGUGAACUCAUCUUCGGGGGUAGAGCACUGUUUCGGCUAGGGGGCCAUCCCGGCUUACCAACCCGAUGCAAACUACGAAUACCGAAGAAUGUUAUCACGGGAGACACACGGCGGGUGCUAACGUCCGUCGUGAAGAGGGAAACAACCCAGACCGCCAGCUAAGGUCCCAAAGUCAUGGUUAAGUGGGAAACGAUGUGGGAAGGCACAGACAGCCAGGAUGUUGGCUUAGAAGCAGCCAUCAUUUAAAGAAAGCGUAAUAGCUCACUGGUCGAGUCGGCCUGCGCGGAAGAUGUAACGGGGCUAAACCAUGCACCGAAGCUGCGGCAGCGACACUAUGUGUUGUUGGGUAGGGGAGCGUUCUGUAAGCCGUUGAAGGUG
rnacentral:rRNA from 1 species